AUCAAUUGAUUAGCUUAUCAGGCCUGUUUAAUAUUAAUUUGCGUUUUUCAACUAGUUACAUUCAUUCUCAGUCGAGCGUUGGGCCAAGCUGGUUCAAUUUUUUGUUCAAGCAAUCCAUUUAUAGUGAGUAAAGUGAUCAAGGUUUUGUUGGUAAUUCAAGCAGCCGUUCACAGCCACGUCACCAUCAUUAGCUUACGAAGUUCGUCGUCACCACCAUCCACACGCUGUAUACUAGCGUGCUGAGAUAAGUGAAGGUUCAUUGACGAACGAGUGAUUGGAAAAUAAUAACAGGAACAAUAAUGGAGCCCACCAAGGAAACAGUCGUCAGAGGCAGCUAUGCAUGGCGUGGCUAUACUGGCAAUCAUGGCAACAAAUACGAAGAAGAUUUAGCAUGUGCGCUGUUUGAGCGAGCAUCUUUGCGGAAAUCUGAAUUCAUACUGGCCUCAGAAAUGAAGAACGCUGGAAAAUUCGAUGAUGUGGUCAUAAUUUUUGAAGAACCGAAGGAAGUGUGGUUGUUCCAAGUCAAACACAAAAACAGCUCAGAUGGUUCAAAACCAAUAUCGUUCAACAAUUUGUUUCCAAAGACGCGUGUGGAAAAUUAUGAUUUUGCUAUUAUCAAGUACAUGCAGUCGUAUUUAGACGUUAUUCAAAAAGAUGACUUCAAGGGGUUGAAGAUGCGAUUUUUUAUCCUAACCAAUAAAUCAUUAGACGAUAGCAAUAGUCAGCUUAGAGAGUUGGUGGACAUCGAGGUCUGUGAACAAAAUGAAGUGAACCCAAUAAUGAAGUUUGCUGAAUCGGACGAUUGCUACAAAAGAUUCAGACCAAAAAAGGAUAAAAUGAAAGAUUUACUGAAGUUGAUGAACACCGAACUACAUGCCAUUAGGGAUGCGAUCAUUGAACUCUUCAAAAGUGGAAAAGUUUCGGAAAUACUAAUCAACUACAAAACACCGUUGCAGAAGAUCCUGGAAGUUUCAUGCAACAAUCUAAAGCUCUCCAAGCAUGGUUCCACCCAUGAAUGGCUGUACAAUGAGCUACUAAAAGAUAUUGAUGGAAAAUUAAUAGAAAAAAAUCCAGCGAUUCAAUCAUUUAUAAAAGGUAAAUCUAGGAACACCCAACUACCAACGUAUUUAACUGAAGAUAGCGUGAGCAAGUUCUUUCAGCAUCUAACUUUCUGUGUAAACCAACCAAGUGAUCUAAUUGAAACCAUCGAGAAUGAUCUUCGCUCAUGGAUGAGAGAUUGGAUUCCACCGGACGAUCUUGGCAAAUCACAAUUGGAACUGCCUUCCGUCAAAUUUAUUAAAUGUUUUAAAAAUUGGAUCAAUUCUAAAAGUUACAAGGAUAAAGCAUACAAGGAUAAGAGUUACUUAUCUUAUAAAGAGGGACGUUCUUGUGUCGAAGAAAUAACUAGACAACUGAGUGAUCAUUUUUCACAACGUAAAUAUAUUGGAAGCUCGUACAUAGAAAGAAAAUUAAUUGAUAACAAUCAUAUUACAAGCGACCAUGAAUUCAUCAAACGAUUAAUAGACGACCAAGCAGAAAACAAAUUUUCUCUUUUCAUCGGAGAGCCUGGUAUGGGAAAAACAACUAUCCUCCAAUACAUUGCCUUCGAAGUUCAAAAGAAAUCCGAUAUUGAUGUGUUCUUGAUAUAUUUGAAAGACUUAAAGGAAAGGCUCGAAGCAGGCUGUGAAAAUUUAGAAGAGGUUUACAAAAUUCUGCAAUCGGCUCUUUCAGAAACCAGCUUGACAAUUUUGAAAUACAAUCUAGAAAGCAACGCAAAUCUUACUUUAAUCCUGUUUGAUGGGUUCGAUGAGAUCACUUUUCAUAACGAGGCAAUCGCCGUAUUUAGGCAAUUAUUGUCAAAGAAGAAUAUUCGAGUGAUUGUAAGUGGUAGAUAUCAUGUCAAAGAUAUUCUUGAAACAGAAUUUAGAGCAAGGGCGCUCAUAAUGAUUCCAUUUAAAAACAAUGACCAAAUUAUGGCUUUGAAAAAUUCAUGGGAAGCUUCCGAUGAUUCAAUGGAAUUUAAAAUUUUUUCAACUCAAUUGCUCGAAAAAUUCUACUCGGACAUAAAUAGCUAUUACUCUGGAUUCUUUGGUAUUCCGCUCCAGAUUCGAUUUUUGGCGGAAGUAUAUUCUGAUGAUUUCCACCAAUAUUUAAAUACUGCUCCAGAUAAACGUGCACAAGAUAUUUUCCCGAAAGAAAAAUUUAAUGUUGUCUCAUUGUUUAAAAAGUUUGUAGAAUUUUCGUUUCAAAUCAAAUUGAAGAAAUUAAGAGACAAAGAUGCUUACCGAAAUAUCGACAUGUCAAGUGAUGACGAAGAGCGCCGUCAGUUGAAAUACUUUACUAUUGAGCAUCAAAUAGCUGCCUGGCAUGACAUUUCUAGUUAUCUUCUUAAGAAAUUAAUCAUAUCGUUCAAAAUCGUAUCGGGUGAACACAAAAGUCAGUACAACCUACUCCAAAACCGAAUCAAAGACGGAAAAGAGUACUCUCCUCUAUUUAAUAUUUCCAAACGCAAUCUUAGAUUCGUACACCGAUCCUAUGCUGAAUUUUUCGUUGCAACGUAUCUAUAUGAUCAUAUCCAAAAAUGGAAUCCAAUUUUUUACAAAAUACUUCGUCUUUAUGAAACAGUUCGAAGAUUUUUCUUUAUGCUAACUGAAGAACAGUUUUCAGAACUAUCAGAGCAACUGAUUGCCUUGAGCGAUAUUUGUAAAAAAAAACCUUAUGUUACAUUCUGGGCAUGUGAAGCAAAUGUUGUAAAAGUAGUAAAGGGACUACUACAAAGGAAAGACUACAAAACUAAAACACUCAAAGAAUAUGGAUCGUUAUUACACACUGCGACGGGUGCUGGUAAUUAUGAGAUGGUUUUAUUGUUACUUGAUUAUGGCAUAGAUGCGAAUUUGAUGGCCAUGGUUGCUAUACCAUGGUUUGAAAAAAAUAUAAGUUCGCUGCACAUUGCUAGUGCCGCGGGGAAUCUAGAAAUUGCUAAACUUCUCCUCGAUCGAUCUGCCAACGUGGAUCAUCAGGAUGAAAAUAAUAAAACACCUCUGCACUAUGCAAGUAAAAAUGGGCAUAUAUGUAUUGUUAAACUCCUCAUCGAUCGAUCUGCCAAAGUGGAUCAUCAGGAUGAAUAUAAUAAAACACCUCUCCACUAUGCAAGAGAAAAUGGGCAUCUAGAUAUUGUUGAACUUCUCCUCGAUAACAUGAAGCAACAAUAGUCACGAACCUUCCAAGAAAAUCGACCUUUCGAUGCCUUCAGGGCCAGACUAGACUCUUAGCCCGUCAACGAGAAGCAUUCGCGAGGUAUCUUGAAAGCACAUUCAGCUCAGCUCGCCAACGAGAAUCAUUCGCGAGGUAUCUAUGAAGAUCUCCCUCCAGUCUCUCGGUAGACGAGUUUUGGAGCAGACAUAAUCCACUCCCAACCAGCCAACAACAAGCAUGCCUUUCAAAAAGAGAAGUCUAUUCACUACUCUUGCUCUGUUAUAAUUGGAAUAACUGCACAUCGAAAUAUCCAAUUUGAAACUAAACCAAUAUUUUCAUUGAACUAAAAUUUAAAAACACUGUAUGCAAAAGCUGCCGUCAGAUAAGAGAAUUCUGAAAUACUUUACUAUAACGGAUGAAGAGAAAAUGGGCAUCUAGAUAUUUUAAAACUUCUGCUCG